ACUCAAAGGAAUAGACGGGGACCCGCACAAGCGGUGGAUGAUGUGGAUUAAUUCGAUGCAACGCGAAAAACCUUACCUACCCUUGACAUGUCCAGAACCCCUGAGAGAUUGGGGGGUGCCUUCGGGAACUGGAACACAGGUGCUGCAUGGCUGUCGUCAGCUCGUGUCGUGAGAUGUUGGGUUAAGUCCCGCAACGAGCGCAACCCUUGUCAUUAGUUGCCAUCAUUUAGUUGGGCACUCUAAUGAGACUGCCGGUGACAAACCGGAGGAAGGUGGGGAUGACGUCAAGUCCUCAUGGCCCUUAUGGGUAGGGCUUCACACGUCAUACAAUGGUCGGUACAGAGGGUUGCCAAGCCGCGAGGUGGAGCUAAUCUCAGAAAGCCGAUCGUAGUCCGGAUCGCAGUCUGCAACUCGACUGCGUGAAGUCGGAAUCGCUAGUAAUCGCGGAUCAGCAUGUCGCGGUGAAUACGUUCCCGGGUCUUGUACACACCGCCCGU
rnacentral:rRNA from 1 species